rnacentral:rRNA from 1 species
AUGUCGGCGGGUGAGAGAAGGAAGACGGCGUGCGUCACCGGAGGGAGCGGCUACAUCGCCUCAGCGCUCAUCAAGCUGCUGCUUGUGAAAGGCUACGCUGUCAAGACGACCGUCCGAGACCCCGAUGACACGGAGAAGAAUUCCCAUCUCAAGGACUUGCAAGGACUUGGCCCCUUGGAGAUCAUCCGUGCCGAUCUGAGUGAGGAAGGCAGCUUCGACCAAGCUGUUUCCGGCUGCGACUACGUCUUCCUCGUCGCCGCUCCUCUGAACCUGAUGUCGGCAGAUCCGGAGAGAGAUCAGGUCGAAGCCACUGUCCAAGGAACGCUCAACGCCAUGAGGUCCUGCGCGAGGGCAGGGACGGUGAAGCGCGUGAUGCUGACGUCGUCCACCGCCGGGGUAUCCAGGAGGCCGCUGCAGGGCGACGGACACGUGCUGGACGAGAGCUCCUGGUCCGACGUCGAGUACCUCAGGGCCAACAAGCCACCAACCUGGGGGUACUCGGUGUCGAAGGUGCUCGCGGAGAAGGCGGCGAGUAGAUUCGCGGAGGAGAACGGCAUCGACCUCGUCACCGUGUUGCCCGUGUUCACCUUGGGCGCGGCGCCGGUCUCCAAAGCAGCAUCCAGCGUUCCCGUCACCCUCUCCUUGUUGUCAGGUGAUGAAGCGCAGUUGGCCAUCUUGGAAGGCUUGCAAUCCGUCACCGGCACCGUGUCGAUAACCCACGUGGAGGAUCUCGAUCGCGCCGAGGUGUUCGUCGCCGAGAACGAGUCCUCGUCUGGGAGGUACAUCUGCCGCAGCCACAAUGUCACCAUCUUGCAGCUUGCUGGUCUCAUGGCACAGAAAUACCUGCAAUACAAUGUGAAUGCCGAUCGGUGUGUACUACUCCCUCUGUUUCAAAAUAAGUGUCUCGCGUUUAGUACAAAGUUGAGAUACGAGACGAAAAAAGUACAAAUCUUCCACAUGCAUGCAUGUUCAUGCGGUGACGGUGAGCUAUUGACGACAUGUGUUUUCUGUAGAUUUCGUGGGUGCCCCGAGCAAUCGAAAGUGUGCAUUUCGUCACAGAAGAUUGUUGGGGAAGGGUUUGUCUUCAAGUACGAGAGCCUGGGUGAGAUUUUGGAUGACCUUGUUGAGUACGGCAGGUGUCGUGGUUCUAAGUCUGACAGUAGAAUAGUGGUAGGAUAA